AGUUGAAUUACUAGGAACAAGUCAAGAAGCCUCAAAAGAAUCAAGGCGUAAAAUACCAAGAACCUACUGGAGAAUAUAUAUUCCAUCAAAAUCAGGAAGAAACCCAAGAAAGAUGGCAUGGAAUCCAGCAAAGAAGGGAUCCAAUAUAGGAGAAAAACUAAGAGAAUCUCAAAAUGGUGAAGCAAAGUCACAGUAACAUAUGGAGAAGGCCUAGAAGGCAACAAAUCCAGACAGGAAUGUGACAGAGAAUCCAAGAUAGUUAUUUCUGAGGGAUUUUACAAAGGCACUGGAAGAUGUAAGAAAUUAAGCUUUAGGAAUGGCCUUCAUUGGUUGCAAUAGGAAGCGAAAGAGGAGACCUGAAAUCAAAUGAAAAAGCGAACUCAGCUGUCUUUCAAGGUCAUUGUUCAAUCUUCAACAGACUAUCUUCACUUGAAAAUUUGAUGAUGACAGCCGGGAGUGGUGGCUCACGCCUGUAAUCCUAGCACUUCGGGAGGCCGAGACGGCGGAUCACGAGGUCGAGUUCGAGACCAGCCUGGUCAACAUGUUGAAACCCAGUCUCUACUAAGAAUACAAAAAGAAUUAGCCGAGUGAAUCUCCAUCUCUACAAAAAACACAAAAAUUAGCCAGGUGUGGUGGUGUGCAUCUGUAGUCCCAGCUACUCAGAAGGCUGAGGCAGGAGAACCACUUGACUUGAGCCCAGGAAUUAGAGGCUGCAGUGAGCCAGGAUUGCGCCAUUGCACUAUCUGUAAACAAGAAAGGCAAUGGCAAUUGGACUCUAACCAUACAUCUUUAAAGUACAGUCUCACAUUUCAGGAGGAAGCCCAAGAGAGAUUUAAUCAGCAGGGUUUCUUUAUAAGUGAAUGUUCUGAAGCUGAGACCUGAAGGGUAAAUUAGGAGUUAAAAUACAAGAUGAGAGUAGCAAUUAGCUAGCACAUUAUAAAGCCAUUUCAGGUUACAAGUAAAAGUGAUACCCUUCCAAGGCCAGGUUAAGAACCUCAGAUGUUAUUCUAAACACAGUGGAGAAUUAUAAUUUAAAUAGCAUGACUUGGCUACAUCACUAUUUUAUGUAGCUGUUCCAGCAAUUCAUGUUCCCUUCAACUGCCCCUGCCCUCUCACUCAGCAGUCCAGUUGACUUUGUCCCUUCAUUUUAAAAAAACAAAAAAAACCCCCAACCCUGUCAAUAAACCACGAAAACUAGGAAGGCACGACAGCAAGUUUCAGUGCUUUAACACAGAAACACCCAAUUACCAAGUUGAGGGCUAAAAAAAUUCGACCAAGUAGUCCCACAUCAUUGCCUUUAGUCUACAAAUCUCAGGGAUUAUACUUGAUUUUCCUUUAUUUCCUGCUCAAUCUUUACUUGCACCCAGCCCUACUUUUUCUCAAACCUAUUUACAUAUUCUUAAGUUGACUCACACCUAGCAGGCUUUUUUCACUUAGCUAGCCACCUUACACACAGCCCACAAGUCAGGUGUGCCAAGUGAGCAUUACAGAUACUAGGAUAAGAUCAUCUUUUGAAAAACAGAAGCCACCUAAACUCCUACCCAUACGUUUCCAGUGGUACUCCCAAGCUCUAUGUGACUAAUAAUCAUCCCCCUAGUCAUGACAGCAUAGCAGAUGAACAUGUUGCUAAAGGUAAUUUAAACAUCAUACUCUUUCAAAUUUACUCAAACAUCUAAAAUACCCACCUAUGCCACAUGAGCUGUGCUAUUUUAAUCUGCUAUAUUGUCUUCCAGUGCCCUCUGCUUCAAGGACUCCUGGAAUUCUGCUUGUUUCUCAUUGCCUUUAACCGUGUUACAAAUCCAGUCCAAAAGUAAACAUUCCAAAACAGUCACUUAACAAGUAAAUCUGAUAUGAAGCUAGCCCAGUCCCUAAACCUACAGUAUUUCACUGAUACUACAAGCCUAAUUGAUUAAAAAUACCUUACCAAACACCAGAUAUGUAUUUUUUAAAACCAGAACAUUUAUUGCAUGACUAAUCGUUGACAUUCUUAAGAUGAACUGGAUGCUGCAACAGCUGCCCUCUUGGGUUUAGGUGUUGUUCCUUCACGGAAUCCAUGCCUGCACGAUGUCAAAAACAAGAACAAGUUACUUCAGCAACAUCGAUGCAUCCAUUUUAAUUUUUGUUAAACAGAUUUCAAUGCGCUUAUCUCAGUUAAAUGCUGAAAUCAAUACUGCAUUCAUAUGUUCAGACAUUUAUUUUUACAACAUCACUGAUAAGCUGCAAUUCUUUACUUCACUUUGCUUAAAGAUACCCAUUUUCGGAUAUAGUUAACUGCAACUGCAAUAAAGGCUCAAAAACUUAUUUGGCUAUACUAGUCAUUGGGCCAGUAUGUUUGUUCAUAUUUGGCAAGAGAUCACAGAUUAUUUGUGAAAAUGGUUCCCUAUACUGAGAAUAGAUCCCAACUACUUUCACUAAGCAAGGAAAAAACAAUUAGCAUGUUUAAUGGCAGACAUUUUCUAAACCAAGAGCUUUGCAUUUUAACUUAUUUAACAUCUGUAUCUACUCUAAGUAUCUACUCUAAGAAAGGUCAACUAUCCUACUUUUAAAAGCCUGGCUUCAGUUCAAGCUCUUAACUCCUAUAUUGUACUAACAGACCACUCAACAUUAAACCCACAAAAACGUUAUGACCCUAAAUGCAAAGAAAGUUGCUUCAGCACAUGAACACACCUAUGGGUGUCUACAAAGCCCUGAACUGUCUUGCUAUCUUUAAAACUGGACACUCCGGAGACUGAGUGGGUAGAGGCUAGGGAUUCUGCAAAAUAUUCAAUUUUGCACUGGACAAUCCCACCACAAAGAAUUAUCCAGCCCAAAAUAUCAACAGCUGAGAAUUGCUGAAAUAGAACAUAGUAACGGAAGGAGCACCAGCUUUAAAGUUAAGUCUGCAUCAUUCUGAAUCUUAGCUGAGAUCUUAGAUGGGUUAAUCUCUUAGAAACUACUCUUUAAUAUGCAGGUUCUCUCAGCUAAGUCUACAGCGGAGCUGAGAUUCUGCAUUUAUAACUCUAAGGCCAAGACUUGAGUAACAAGAGCCCAAGGCAACAGCAGCAACCAGGGCAAUUUUCUACAGCACUCUUGCCCACAGCCACUAUACUAAAGGUUGAACCAAGCCUGACUCCAGACCUUAUUCACUACUGUCUUGACAAAUUUUGACACCAAGUAAACCUAAUAAAUAUCAACACUUUGGGACCC